rnacentral:lncRNA from 1 species
UUUGUUACGUUCUCAAAUGAUGUAAAGCGAAAUCGAAGUGAAAGCGCUAGUAAAAGCCAGUAGUGAUGAAUUAAACGAAGCAUAAAUAUAAAUUUGGAACUUUCCAAGCAUUUGCAAAUGACGAUACGCAGUUAUUCUAAUUGAACUGAAAAUCGCACCGUAUAGCGAUAGCAUGAUAAAAUCCAACUGGCUGCAGUUUAGUUAAAGCAAGCAAAUCUAGCCUUUUGCUGUAUGUCUAGACACUGUUCAACGCAGACAUGCAGAGAAAUACCAUAACACAAAUAAAAACCGCUCUAAGGUGUAAUCAUGCUAAAUCAUUCUUUCGGGCGACUACGUUUGGCCCUCGUUUUCACAAAUCAAGAUGUAAUUGAGCAGGGUGAUGAAUAAGAGAAGCGUGUCAAAGGGACGACUUCCUUAAAUCUCCACUUAGUUGCCGAACAUUUUUAUUUAAGUAUUUAACUAAAUAGUUAUGUGGAUUGACAGAUGUAUAAUACAACAUGUAUUGUCAUAAUUACCAAUCUCAGUGCUAUCUAUUAAAAUAUAACUUCAAGUAAUUCAAAAGUAUCUCACAGGAGACACGAAGAUUAUAUAACUGUUAACGGAAUAAUCAAAAAGAUUGUAAAUUUGCGUACCAGAUGAAAGAGUUCCAGUUUGCUUACCGAUAUACGUAUGCUGAUGUCGACGGCUGUGUGCCGUGAAGCCAGCGAAUAAAGCCAUGACCGAACGCUACUGUGCCAGUAACUGCGAAUCUGCGAAAGCCAUCGAAGGUGCUCGUGAAGUAACGUUCAAAUGUGAACACAGCUGAUAGCAUUUACACGUGUAGGUAUAAGCUGAGGCCGUUCUUCGCUGCAAAGUCUGACAAAUCUACAAUGGCUUUGUUUAAAACGCGGCUUAUCAUCUACGCAAUUGCGUUGGUAAACAUGCUAGAAUUUGUUCGCACGUGUGGUGCAGGCCCGAUUCAUAGUCUCUAUCGCAGUUUCCGCCUGCAUGUCGGGCUGGACCAUUAUGAGAGACCAGCUUCAUUUCCCAAUUUUAUGCACAUUCGAGAUAGCUACGAGCCUACUAAAUAUAACAGAAAGUGGUAUUACCGCCAUGGAAAUCAAAUGCUUACUAUUAAAUGUAAGGUCUAAUGUCAUAGGAAGAUAGCAUUAACAAGUUAUCUGGGCAUAACACUUAUUUUUGGUGCACCAGGCUACAAGGUUGUUUGAAGUUUGAAUACUGAAGAAUCCAUUUUUAAAUUAGUAUUGUAGUAUUAGGAAACCAGUACUAUAAAGUUUCAUGGACUAUUACUACAUAAUAACCGUGUACAUCCCGGGAAAUAAUAACUAACGACAAACCGAUGCUUGUAUAACUUGAAUAUGUGCGACUUACCGAGCUUGCUAAAUCUGACGUUACAGUUACUAGUACAAACAGCUGACACAAACGUAGAAGACAGAAAAAAACACGACUCAAGCAAUUAGCUACAAUUACACCCAUGCUUUCGAAAAUUUCACAUGAAAGCUAGAUAAAUCGUCGUUAAUAAAAUCUAUGUGAAACAUAAUCGGAAGAAA